rnacentral:rRNA from 1 species
AUUGAACGCUGGCGGCAGGCUUAACACAUGCAAGUCGAGCGGGGGAAGGUAGCUUGCUACCGGACCUAGCGGCGGACGGGUGAGUAAUGCUUAGGAAUCUGCCUAUUAGUGGGGGACAACAUCUCGAAAGGGAUGCUAAUACCGCAUACGUCCUACGGGAGAAAGCAGGGGAUCUUCGGACCUUGCGCUAAUAGAUGAGCCUAAGUCGGAUUAGCUAGUUGGUGGGGUAAAGGCCUACCAAGGCGACGAUCUGUAGCGGGUCUGAGAGGAUGAUCCGCCACACUGGGACUGAGACACGGCCCAGACUCCUACGGGAGGCAGCAGUGGGGAAUAUUGGACAAUGGGGGGAACCCUGAUCCAGCCAUGCCGCGUGUGUGAAGAAGGCCUUAUGGUUGUAAAGCACUUUAAGCGAGGAGGAGGCUACUUUAGUUAAUACCUAGAGAUAGUGGACGUUACUCGCAGAAUAAGCACCGGCUAACUCUGUGCCAGCAGCCGCGGUAAUACAGAGGGUGCGAGCGUUAAUCGGAUUUACUGGGCGUAAAGCGUGCGUAGGCGGCUUAUUAAGUCGGAUGUGAAAUCCCCGAGCUUAACUUGGGAAUUGCAUUCGAUACUGGUGAGCUAGAGUAUGGGAGAGGAUGGUAGAAUUCCAGGUGUAGCGGUGAAAUGCGUAGAGAUCUGGAGGAAUACCGAUGGCGAAAGCAGCCAUCUGGCCUAAUACUGACGCUGAUGUACGAAAGCAUGGGGAGCAA